UACGGGGGGGGCAAGCGUUGUUCGGAAUUACUGGGCGUAAAGGGCUCGUAGGCGGCCAACUAAGUCAGACGUGAAAUCCCUCAGCUUAACUGGGGAACUGCGUCUGAUACUGGAUGGCUUGGAUUUGGGAGAGGGAUGCGGAAUUCCAGGUGUAGCGGUGAAAUGCGCAGAUAUCAGGAAGAACACCCGUGGCUAAGGCGGCUCUCUAGUACGGUACUGACGCUGAGACGCGAAAGCGUGGGGAGCGAACAGG
rnacentral:rRNA from 1 species